AAAUUAACAUUUUGGUGCAAGCAAGGAAAUUAAUAUUUUAUUCCAACACGUUCAAAAAUAUAUUUCGAAAAUGCUAUAUUAUGUAAAUUGAAUUUCCAACGUGGUAGAAGAUUACAUAAAAACGGACCACGUAUAUUAACUUUCUUACAAAAAAAAAAAAAAAAAACGAUAUUAGCUUAAACUUGCAGUUAAAGCACAACGAUAAAAAUAGCUCAUUAUAUUAUAUUUCCCGCCCUUUGUGU
rnacentral:lncRNA from 1 species